rnacentral:rRNA from 1 species
GUCUACGGCCAUGCUACUCUGAAUAAGCCUGAUCUCAUCUGUCUCGGAAGCGAAGCAGGGUCAGGCCUGGUUAGCACUUGGAUGGGAGACCACCUAGGAAUACCAGGUGCUGUAGUGU